AAACUUAAAGGAAUUGACGGGGGCCCGCACAAGCAGCGGAGCGUGUGGUUUAAUUCGAUGAUACACGAAGAACCUUACCAAGGUUUGACAUGCAAGUGGUAGUGAACUGAAAAGGGAACGACCCUUCGGGGAGCUUGCACAGGUGCUGCAUGGCUGUUGUCAGCUCGUGUCGUGAGAUGUUCGGUUAAGUCCGCUAACGAGCGCAACCCUCGCUGUGUGUUAUACGUGUCACACGGGACCGCCGGUUUUAAGCCGGAGGAAGGUGAGGAUGACGUCAAGUCAGCAUGGCCUUUAUAUCUUGGGCUACAUACACGCUACAAUGGCCAGUACAACAGGAAGCGAAGUCGCAAGGCGAAGCCAAUCCCUAAAGCUGGUCUCAGUUCGGAUUGCAGGCUGCAACUCGCCUGCAUGAAGCCGGAGUUGCUAGUAACCACAGGUCAGCUAUACUGCGGUGAAUACGUUCCCGGGCCUU
rnacentral:rRNA from 1 species